UAGGGAAUCUUCGGCAAUGGACGAAAGUCUGACCGAGCAACGCCGCGUGAGUGAAGAAGGUUUUCGGAUCGUAAAACUCUGUUGUUAGAGAAGAACAAGGACGUUAGUAACUGAACGUCCCCUGACGGUAUCUAACCAGAAAGCCACGGCUAACUACGUGCCAGCAGCCGCGGUAAUACGUAGGUGGCAAGCGUUGUCCGGAUUUAUUGGGCGUAAAGCGAGCGCAGGCGGUUUCUUAAGUCUGAUGUGAAAGCUCCCGGCUCAACCGGGGAGAGUCAUUGGAAACGGGGAGACUUACGUGCAGAAGAGGAUAGCGGAUUUCCAUGUGUUGCGGUCAAAUGCGUAGAUAUAUGGGGGGACUCCAGUGGCGAGGGCGGCUCUCUGGUCUGUCACUGACGCUGAGGCUCGAAAGCGUGGGGAGCAAACAGG
rnacentral:rRNA from 1 species